GCCUACGGGGGGCAGCAGUAGGGAAUCUUCCACAAUGGGCGAAAGCCUGAUGGAGCAACGCCGCGUAGGUGAAGAAGGUCUUCGGAUCGUAAAACCCUGUUGUUAGAGAAGAAAGUGCGUGAGAGUAACUGUUCACGUUUCGACGGUAUCUAACCAGAAAGCCACGGCUAACUACGUGCCAGCAGCCGCGGUAAUACGUAGGUGGCAAGCGUUAUCCGGAUUUAUUGGGCGUAAAGGGAACGCAGGCGGUCUUUUAAGUCUGAUGUGAAAGCCUUCGGCUUAACCGGAGUAGUGCAUUGGAAACU
rnacentral:rRNA from 1 species